rnacentral:rRNA from 1 species
UACAGAGGUCUCAAGCGUUGUUCGGAUUCAUUGGGCGUAAAGGGUGCGUAGGUGGCGCCGUAAGUCGGGUGUGAAAUUUCGGAGCUUAACUCCGAAACUGCAUUCGAUACUGCCGUGCUUGAGGACUAGAGAGGAGACUGGAAUUUACGGUGUAGCGGUGAAAUGCGUAGAUAUCGUAAGGAAGACCAGUGGCGAAGGCGGGUCUCUGGACAGUUCCUGACGCUGAGGCACGAAGGCCAGGGGAGCAAACGGG